GUUGUAGAUUUAGAGUUUAACCCCACUGUGCUCUGAGCGCAGGCGCUGUAUGGUUUCUACUCCUCUAACUUUGCCAAGGUGUCUUUUACAGAGUGUGGUCCACCUUGGUUAAAGCACCAUGUGAAUUGAGAAGAAUGCAGAAUCUACUCAUUGGAUGAGGCUGGCUGUGGAUGUCACCUAUAUCCUGUUGAGUGGUGGGGCUGUUGAGUUUAACAUGGACUUACUGAUUGCCCGCCACGUGUUGAAGUUUCACAAUGUCAGAGUGGACCCAUGUAGUCUGGUUCCAUCGUUCUUCCUCUCAUAGUCUGAUGCUCCACUGCCAGGCAAUAAAAGGAAGAGUCUCAUGAGGAAACGAAAGCAUUUAUUACAGGCUACAGCUGAUCACCAGGGAAGUCAUGCCAUUUGCUGUGUCUUCCUUCUCGGCAACUUCUCUUCCCUCCGUGCGUGUUUUGCUGUUAAGAGAGGAGGAAGGGAAAGUUAGACUGAAAUGGUGACACCAGGGGCCCAGGACUCCCGGCUCCGCUCAAGAGCAGAUCCCGAAGACUGGAGCAACUGUGCAAAGCAGCCAGCUCCUUGACCAUCCGCCAAAAAGAAGCAAGGGACCCCUGCGGGAAGAAGAGGGCCUGGGUCAGACUCUGAGAACCCCAUGAUGAGUGAGCCUGUCUCGGCCCCAGAGCGCCCCCCAGAGGAAGAGCUCCACUCACCGUCUGAAAACAGCAACCUUGCUCCCGUCUGGCACUUAUUCCUGCCUUCCUCUCAACCUGACCGACUGGGACACGCUGUUCUUAGCAUCGUGAAAUUGACGCAAAGACUGUUGUUAAUAAUUUUAU